CUACAACAUGACGAACUGUAUUAAAGGGUCACAGUGUUAGGAAGGUUAAGAACCACUGCUCUAAAGCAUGAGAAGGUAGAUAAGAGCCAGUGUCCAGUAUAGACCAGUGUGGCUUCUGAAGAUAACAACUAUUGCCAACUACAAUAGGCUAUUCAAAGCUGGAGGACUCUGUACUUUGCUCAAUGUAGCUCGUUUGUGUCUUUGUUCCUUGAAAAAAAUUAUUCCUUUAAUACAUUUUAAAAUGUGCUUUAAUUUGAGGUGUAACUUGGGUGGAACGCUUGUCCAAUAUGUGCUAGGCCUCAACACCACCAAAAGAAAAAGACAAAAGUCUUCACUUCAACUUGUUUAUUAUUAGUUUAAUAUACAUUUUUUAUUUUUGUUCUUAUGUGCAUUGAAAUUAAGAUAAUUCUCUUAAUAAAAGAAACUUGAGAGUAUUUCCAAAAAAGUUAAAAAA
rnacentral:lncRNA from 1 species